UCCCUGUGUGAAGUUUGCAUGUUCUCCCUCGGGCCUGCGUGGGUUUUCUCCGGGUGCUCCGGUUUCCUCCCACAUUCCAAAAAUAUGCAUGGCAGGCUAAUUGGACACUCCAAAUUGUCCCUAGGUGCGAGUGCGAGUGCGAGCACGGAUGGUUGUUCAUUUCUGUGUGCCCUGCGAUUGGCUGGGAACUGGUUCAGGGUUUCCCCGGCCUACUGCCCGAAGACAGCUGGGAUAGGCUCCAGCACCCCCCGUGACCCUACUGGGGAUAGAGCGGUUUGGAAAACGGAUGGAUGGAUGGAUGGUUCCUUUAUCUAUUUUUAUUUAUUUAUUUGUUUUACUACUGUGCACAAUACACGAAUGAAAUUCAGAAGAAAAACAUGCCUUUUGGGGCGGGGGAGGGGGGGUGACAAGAACAGAAGAAUAGCAUUUCCAUCCAUUUCAAUGGGGAAAAUUGACUUGAAAGACAAGAAAAGUCAUGGAAAGAAACAAAAAAUGCCGUUGGUCAAAAAUGUUACAUUGUAACAUCAAAAAAUGUUACAUUCCAUUACAUACAACCCUUACAUUGUUACUUUUCCCAAAAUCGCAACUAGCUCCUGAAACGUCUCCGGGCGACCAGCACAAAAGCGGCGGAACCAAUUGUGUUUCCCCCUUCAUCGUGAACGCUUGCCUACUUUGCAGCUGAGCCCCGGCAGGAAAUACCGAUGGCGAAAAGGAGAUGGGGAGCAAGGAUAGGGACGGUCUUCUCACUGCGCAACUGCCUCCGUUCUCUAAACAGGACGUUCACACCCUCAGCCAGGGCUGGACCCGCACGGCGAGCCAAUGCCUGGUGGGCCAUCGUCUUUAGGGGGCUGUUGUGUUGCCAUUGAAUUAUUAGAUUAAGUUCAAAAAAUUAAUAAUAAACACGUGGCUUCAACCAUCGAAAUUAAAUAAGUGUCUGACAUUGGGAAAACAGAGAAGUGGCUGGAAAUGGCUGAACUGAGAGACUGCACGGAGAUGCUGGCGAGCAAGCUUUAUAAUGAGCGUCAUGACCAGGUAGCAGGAAUAGUACACUGGAACAUCUGUAACAAAUAAGGAGUAUCCCCACAAUUAAGAUGGCGGACACUGCCGAAAGGUGGUUGGGAACAACCGGGCCACUUCCAGAUCCAGACUGACGAACUGGUGAUGACCAACCAGCCUGAGGCAGUGGUGGUGGAUAAACAUCAAAAGACGGCAGUCGUGAAAGAUGUCGCAAUCCCGAAUGAUUGCAACAUCUGGAAGGAGGAACCAAUAAAGUGGAGAAAGACUUUGCGUAGAAUCCUCUUCAAGCUCCCAGGCCUCUGGAUGAAGACCCGGAUUUGAAGGAGAUACUGCUCAAGUGGCGCAACGGGUUGAUUCUAAUGAUUCUAAAACAACAUUACUACUCAUCCAAUUGAAACCUUGUCGAACCCGAUCCAAGGUGACACCCGAGAAGAGGCGGCGAUGACUCUUUACUCGACUAAUCAACCGUUCAAAGGGCCAAAGCACUGGUCCAUGAUGAUGUAGUGCUGAGCCGAGUGUGACGCAAGUGAGGCGCUAAGGAUGCUGACCUGGUGAUAGAAGUGCAUGUCGGACGGCGCUCGGCAGACUCCCGAAGGCCUCGAUGCGAGCGGCUCGGGUCCAUCCAGCGGGAACGUCUUUCGGGUGUGACGUCCCGUGCUUCUGUUCAUCAACGGGAGAAUGGAAGCGCCCGUGUUGCUGCUGCUGUUUGUUCUUCUCAUUUCAUUUUUCCCCCUCUUGUUGCUUUCCAUCACAUGAUUUGAGCCCCUCCUAUGUCCAGUUUACAGGGUCACUUUCAUCUGUGGCAGGAUCCGCUGCACAUCACUUCAAGUGGCUUCUAUCCUCCUCUCCUUUCCUGGAAAAAAAAAUCAAGCAGCACACACACACACACACACACAGACAUGCCGCAUGCCACCCAGCCAGGGGUUGUCAGCCCUUCCUGUGUGUAUGUGCGUUGUAGAUAGCAUGGCGUGCUCUGUGCUGUCAGAAACAGGAAGUGGGAAGCUUGCUCGCUUGGCCCUGAUGAGCCAUCUCCUGUGUGUAUGCACAUGAGAGACACAGGACACAAUUACCGUAGCUCAAAAGCUAUGGCAGGCCAUCAGAGAAUUAUUUCGAUCAUCUACCAGUGCAACGAAUUGUCUAUCUGCGGGUCGGCUCUAAAUAUUCAUUUGUAAGAAGAUAGAACAGUUUUAAAUAGCAGAACGACGAAGGCGCACAGGUAGAACAACGACAUGUGACUGGCGAGGCAAAACGGCAAACUAGUUGAAAACUGCAUGUCACUAAUUCUGACAUGGACAUUAAAAUAUGUUAAAAAUCUAGCGUUUCCCGGGUAAUGGUAGUAUACAGAUAUUCGUGCAUAGUUUUGCAAAGGAGUAUGGCAAAGCUUUCUGACUAAUGUGCAGAGAUUUUACACAGGAGUGGAAGGCAAAAAAAAAAAUCUUUACUAGUAAGAUUUCUAGAGUGCCCUGGUUGUUCUACUAGCAUGUUGAAUUGUCUUACUAGUGAGGACAAAAAGGAUACUAGUGUAUGUGUGUGUGGAUAUCACUGAUAUUCAGCCUAACGUUGCUGCACUAGAAUUCUUUUUGUCGACUAUAGUGGGCAAUUUUGGCACAGUAGUGGGACAACUACAGAGUACAAAUGAGGCACUGAAAUGUGCACUAUUUGGCAAGUGAGCGCAUAUUACAGUGCACUAAAACGACCCACGUGCAAGGAAAGGUUUGUCAAAGGUAAUAUGUGGCAUGACUCCUCUGUGAUUUUUUUGUUGUUGUUGUUUGUUUCUGGCAUUUCAAAAAUGUUUCGAAGAGUGGUCCGGCAUCGCUUUCCACACCGAUUGGCACAAAAAAAAUUGGCCGUUGCAAUUUGGUUCCGAUUUGAUGAAUCACAUUGCACAUGUUAAAUUUCAUUUUCGUAUAUUCCUCCCACAAUACAGAAAAUGAACUGCGCUGGAUUUUAGCGAGUUUGGCAUACACAAACAUCUGUUUAGUAAGCGGUCAAGAUCGCGCCCGGUUUUUGCACAUUGCAAACCUCAAGCAAUCAAACAAAGACGAAGAGUUUCUACGCAAGAAAAAUAAUUUAUUUAUGAUAGAAUCACUUCAUGGCACUGGCAUGUCGGAAUGUGGCGCUUUUUCCGGACAGCUACACACCAAACCACUGGAUGGGCCACGAGGGGAUUUAAUACAUAUAUGGAAUAUUCCUUUAAAUGUCUUUUUUUCCCCAUAAGGAAUAACAAAAAUAGAACUCCAAUAAGUG